rnacentral:rRNA from 1 species
GAAAGUCUGGACGGAGCAACGCCGCGUGAGUGAUGAAGGUUUUCGGAUCGUAAAGCUCUGUUGUUAGGGAAGAACAAGUGCAAGAGUAACUGCUUGCACCUUGACGGUACCUAACCAGAAAGCCACGGCUAACUACGUGCCAGCAGCCGCGGUAAUACGUAGGUGGCAAGCGUUGUCCGGAAUUAUUGGGCGUAAAGGGCUCGCAGGCGGUUUCUUAAGUCUGAUGUGAAAGCCCCCGGCUCAACCGGGGAGGGUCAUUGGAAACUGGGAAACUUGAGUGCAGAAGAGGAGAGUGGAAUUCCACGUGUAGCGGUGAAAUGCGUAGAGAUGUGGAGGAACACCAGUGGCGAAGGCGACUCUCUGGUCUGUAACUGACGCUGAGGAGCGAAAGCGUGGGGAGCGAACAGGAUUAGAUACCCUGGUAGUCCACGCCGUAAACGAUGAGUGCUAAGUGUUAGGGGGUUUCCGCCCCUUAGUGCUGCAGCUAACGCAUUAAGCACUCCGCCUGGGGAGUACGGUCGCAAGACUGAAACUCAAAGGAAUUGACGGGGGCCCGCACAAGCGGUGGAGCAUGUGGUUUAAUUCGAAGCAACGCGAAGAACCUUACCAGGUCUUGACAUCCUCUGACAACCCUAGAGAUAGGGCUUUCCCUUCGGGGACAGAGUGACAGGUGGUGCAUGGUUGUCGUCAGCUCGUGUCGUGAGAUGUUGGGUUAAGUCCCGCAACGAGCGCAACCCUUGAUCUUAGUUGCCAGCAUUUACUUGGGCACUCUAAGGUGACUGCCGGUGACAAACCGGAGA